AGGUGAACCUGCGGAAGGAUCAUUACUAGAGCAAAGGAUAGACAGCGCCCGCGGAGCUCGCUCCCGGGGGCUACCCUACUCCCGUAGGGUUUAGAGUCGUCGGGCCUCUCGGAGAAGCUCGGUCCUGAACUCCACCCUUGAAUAAACUACCUUUGUUGCUUUGGCGGGCCGCCUCGUGCCAGCGGCUUCGGCUGUUGAGUGCCCGCCAGAGGACCCCAACUCUUGUUUUUAGUGAUGUCUGAGUACUAUAUAAUAGUUAAAACUUUCAACAACGGAUCUCUUGGUUCUGG
rnacentral:misc_RNA from 1 species